UACGUAGGGGGCAAGCGUUGUCCGGAAUUAUUGGGCGUAAAGAGCGUGUAGGCGGUCCGGUAAGUCCGCUGUGAAAGUCCAGGGCUCAACCCUGGAAUGCCGGUGGAUACUGCCGGGCUAGAGUCCGGAAGAGGCGAGUGGAAUUCCUGGUGUAGCGGUGAAAUGCGCAGAUAUCAGGAGGAACACCAAUGGCGAAGGCAGCACUCUGGGACGUGACUGACGCUGAGACGCGAAAGCGUGGGGAGCAAACAGG
rnacentral:rRNA from 1 species